AAAGGCCAGUGAUGAACAAAAGUUUUGCCUACAUUGUCUGAUUGUUUACAUUGAAGAGAACUAGAGAUUUCUGAGGCCCUU